rnacentral:rRNA from 1 species
GACGUAGGGCGCGAGCGUUGUCCGGAUUUAUUGGGCGUAAAGAGCUCGUAGGCGGCUUGUCGCGUCGUCCGUGAAAACUUGGGGCUCAACCCCAAGCUUGCGGUCGAUACGGGCAGGCUAGAGUUCGGUAGGGGAGACUGGAAUUCCUGGUGUAGCGGUGAAAUGCGCAGAUAUCAGGAGGAACACCGGUGGCGAAGGCGGGUCUCUGGGCCGUAACUGACGCUGAGGAGCGAAAGCAUGGGGAGCGAACAGG